UACGGAGGGAGCUAGCGUUGUUCGGAAUUACUGGGCGUAAAGCGCACGUAGGCGGCUUUGUAAGUAAGAGGUGAAAGCCUGGAGCUCAACUCCAGAAUAGCCUUUUAGACUGCAUCGCUUGAAUCCGGGAGAGGUGAGUGGAAUUCCGAGUGUAGAGGUGAAAUUCGUAGAUAUUCGGAAGAACACCAGUGGCGAAGGCGGCUCACUGGAUCGGUAUUGACGCUGAGGUGCGAAAGCGUGGGGAGCAAACAGG
rnacentral:rRNA from 1 species